rnacentral:rRNA from 1 species
AGCGUCGGGCCCAUGCCCGGCCGUCGCCGGCAACAAGAGCCUCGAGGGCUAGGCCGCGAUGAGUAGGAGGGCCGCUGCGGUGAGCACGGAAGCUUAGGGCGUGGGCCCUGGUGGAGNCCGCCGCA